UNAUCAAGGCUGAGGCGUGAUGAGAGGCACUACGGUGCUGAAGCAACAAAUGCCCUGCUCCCAGGAAAAGCCUCUAAGCAUCAGGUAACAUCAAAUCGUACCCCAAACCGACACAGGUGGUCAGGUAGAGAAUACCAAGGCGCUUGAGAGAACUCGGGUGAAGGAACUAGGCAAAAUGGUGCCGUAACUUCGAGAAGGCACGCUGAUAUGUAGGUGAAGCGACUUGCUCGUGGAGCUGAAAUCAGUCGAAGAUACCAGCUGGCUGCAACUGUUUAUUAAAAACACAGCACUGUGCAAACACGAAAGUGGACGUAUACGGUGUGACGCCUGCCCGGUGCCGGAAGGUUAAUUGAUGGGGUUAGUGCGAAGCUCUUGAUCGAAGCCCCGGUAAACGGCGGCCGUAGCAAUAACGGUCCCAGUAGCGAAAUUCCUUGUCGGUAAGUUCCGACCUGCACGAAUGGCGUAAUGAUGGUCAGGCUGUCUCCACCCGAGACUCAGUGAAAUUGAACUCGCUGUGAAGAUGCAGUGUACCGCGGCAAGACGGAAAGACCGUGAACCUUUACUAUAGCUUGACACUGAACAUUGAGCCUUGAUGUAGGAUAGGUGGGAGGCUUAGAAGUGUGGUCGCCAGUCUCAUGGAGCCGACCUUGAAAUACCACCCUUUAGUGUUUGAUGUUCUAACGUUGACCCGUAAUCCGGGUUGCGGCAGUGUCUGGUGGGUAGUUUGACUGGGGCGGUCUCCUCCUAAAGAGUAACGGAGGAGCACGAAGGUUGGCUAACCCUGGUCGGACAUCAGGAGGUUAGUGCAAUGGCAUAAGCCAGCUUGACUGCGAGCGUGACGGCGCGAGCAGGUGCGAAAGCAGGUCAUAGUGAUCCGGUGGUUCUGAAUGGAAGGGCCAUCGCUCAACGGAUAAAAGGUACCCGGGAUAACAGGCUGAUACCGCCCAAGAGUUCAUAUCGACGGCGGUGUUUGGCACCUCGAUGUCGGCUCCNCAUCCUGGGCCAGCGGUCCCGCGGCAGGCUGUUCGCCAUUUAAAGUGGUACGCGAGCUGGCGAAACGUCGUGAGACAGUUCGGUCCCUAUCUGCCGUGGGCGCUGAGAACUGAGGGGCUGCUUAGUACGAGAGGACCGGAGUGGACGCAUCACUGGUGUUCGUCAUGCCAUGGUACUGCCCGAAGCNAAGCAGAUAAGUGCUGAAAGCAUCUAAGCACGAAACUUGCCCCGAGAUGAGUUCUCCCUGACCCUUUAAGGGUCCUGAAGGAGCGUUGAAGACGACGACGUUGAUAGGCCGGGUGUGUAAGCGCAGCGAUGCGUUGAGCUAACCUAAUGAACCGUGAGG
rnacentral:rRNA from 1 species